CAACAUCAGAGGCACAGCUGGUGGUGAUACAAGAGAGACUUUUCUGUGGCGGCUCCCAUACUGUGGAAUUCCCUCCCAAGCGAGGUUUGAUGGGCUUCCUCCUUGUUAUCUCUCCACUGGCAGGCUAAGACCUUCUUUUUCAGCUAAUUCGUACAACACAAGCAUCCAGGGUUGGAUUCAAGUGCCAGCAUUUCAGCAAGGAACACAGACAUGAUGUCUCUACAGCAACAGCCACAGUGCAGCCAAUCCAACAUCUGCUUCCUCGCUGCUGAAGCAUCACAAUCCGAGGUUACUAUCGUGCAUUGACCGACAGUAACCGAGCAUGAGUGAGAGAGAGCUGGCUCAUGCGGCGCCUCUGCUGCAAUGCACCUGCUAUGAUAAGGACAGGCUUUUCUUGACUCCUCUAACCAGGAUCAGCAAAUAAUUUAGAGCAAAUCCUAUUUUUGAUCGUUUGCAUCUUUAAAAGGCUCAGGGUAUAGAUUCUUGCAGAACAAAAUAUGCACUUGUUUCAAUGAAUGUGUCAGAAUGAAUUUGUAACAGUACCUCCAAACCAAACAAAACACCACACAGAAAAACCUGGUGAGUUUAAACUGGAUUUUGUCAACAACUCUAUUGUGAAGUCUGCUUUCCCCAACUGUUUUUAAACACUGUUUUCAGUUUAAAGAUAUUUUAGCUAAGACGCAAGAUGUAAAUUACCCGAUGGCAUUAAUUUCAAACAUUGAUUUUGGGAAGGUUUUAACAGUUUGGUGGCCAGCCAAAA